rnacentral:rRNA from 1 species
CCUACGGGUGGCAGCAGUGAGGAAUAUUGGUCAAUGGCCGGAAGACUGAACCAGCCAAGCCGCGUGAAGGACGAAGGUACCGAGUAUCGUAAACCUCUUUUGUCAAGGAACAAAAACAGGGUCGCGAGCCUGACCGAGGGUACUUGAAGAAAAAGCAUCGGCUAACUCCGUGCCAGCAGCCGCGGUAAUACGGAGGAUGCGAGGUUUAUCCGGAUUUAUUGGGUUUAAAGGGUGCGAAGGCGGACUGUUAAGUCAGCGGUAAAAGCCCGGGGCUCAACCCCGGCGAGCCGUUGAAACUGGCUGUCUUGAGAUGUAGAGAGGUAUGCGGAAUGCGCAGUGUAGCGGUGAAAUGCUUAGAUAUUGCGCAGAACUCCGAUUGCGAAGGCAGCAUACCGGCUGCAAACUGACGCUGAGGCGCGAAAGCGUGGGUAUCAAACAGGAUUAGAUACCCGAGUAGUC